rnacentral:lncRNA from 1 species
UCCAAAUAGAUACAGAUUUCUCACUUGCCUCAACACUCAAGCAAGGAAUAAGAACAAGCCAAUAGCAUCUUGUUUUUGUCUGGAUUUGAUACAUCAUUUCAUCUCUUCAGCUUCUUCCACUCUCCUCAACACUCCACUUCCUACACUGGCAGGCUGUUGCUUGCACUAAACCAUCACAUUGAUAGUGAAACAUGCUUCCUCUGAUCUUAAUUGCAUGUAAUUCUUGUCAUCA